UACAGAGGGUGCGAGCGUUGUUCGGAAUUAUUGGGCGUAAAGGGCGCGUAGGCGGUGAGGUAAGUCACCUGUGAAAUCUCCUGGCUCAACUGGGAGCUUGCAGGCGAAACUGCCGUGCUGGAGUGUGGGAGAGGUGCGUGGAAUUCCUGGUGUAGCGGUGAAAUGCGUAGAUAUCAGGAGGAACACCUGUGGCGAAAGCGGCGCACUGGACCACAACUGACGCUGAGGCGCGAAAGCUAGGGGAGCAAACAGG
rnacentral:rRNA from 1 species